rnacentral:lncRNA from 1 species
AAUAAGAAAAAAUGGGGAGAUAUGUUGGAUGACGACGAUGUUGGGGACGAUGAUGCCUUUUUAGAUUUCUCCUCUUAGUUUUGGUUUUUGUCCACCCGUGGUCUUUUGCGGGUUUCCUGUGGUUUUUGUCUUGUUUUUUUUUUGUUUCUUUUUGGCCCGGCCCUCUGUUAGCGUCUGUGCUUUCAGGGGUUUUUUCUCUCUUUUUUCUUCUUUUUAAUAAAAUUCCUAUUUCAGCAGUGCAGCGAGUCGUUUGUGGAUCCGUAUAAGGUGGAUGUUGACAUUCUCAUGAUAUCCUUGUACUAUGUUGUAAUUUCCUAUAUAAAAGCGGGAUCUUCAUUAAAUACAGAAUCCUUAGCAUUAAAUGUUCUCUUUGCUUUACACAUUUUCGAGGAUGCUUUCACUUUUAAAUAUCUGACUCGUAGGGUUGACGUGGCAAAUCUACUUUCAAGUGUGUGCCAGUCUGAG